AUUGAACGCUGGCGGCAUGCCUUACACAUGCAAGUCGAACGGUAACAGGUCUUCGGAUGCUGACGAGUGGCGAACGGGUGAGUAAUACAUCGGAACGUGCCUAGUAGUGGGGGAUAACUACUCGAAAGAGUGGCUAAUACCGCAUGAGAUCUACGGAUGAAAGCAGGGGAUCGCAAGACCUUGUGCUACUAGAGCGGCCGAUGGAAGAUUAGGUAGUUGGUGGGAUAAAAGCUUACCAAGCCGACGAUCGGUAGCUGGUCUGAGAGGACGAUCAGCCACACUGGGACUGAGACACGGCCCAGACUCCUACGGGAGGCAGCAGUGGGGAAUUUUGGACAAUGGGCGAAAGCCUGAUCCAGCAAUGCCGCGUGCAGGAUGAAGGCCUUCGGGUUGUAAACUGCUUUUGUACGGAACGAAAAGCCCCGGGUUAAUACCCUGGGGUCAUGACGGUACCGUAAGAAUAAGCACCGGCUAACUACGUGCCAGCCGCCGCGGUAA
rnacentral:rRNA from 1 species